rnacentral:misc_RNA from 1 species
UGGCGGCUUUAUGAUGCAGGCUGUCAGUUGGUAACAUAUAGUGGACUGCUGGUGUAAAAAUGUAAUGAAUGGCAUUGUAUCGGAGAGCAUACAUUUCCAGGAGUUACAUUGGCGAGUUUCCAAAUUCAAGGCAUGGAUUGUUGCUGCAAGGAAUGAUUGAACAACAUGAUAACUGCAGAGCCAGGAGGUGAGGGAAAUCUUUCCACAUCCAAUAACGAAGCCCAUCUGGACCAGGUGAUAUACGCUUCUGCUGUGUAAGGAAUCUUUCAACCGUGUGAACUUUGAAAGCUGGGAUAUAAGUGUGAUAUGAGAAUUGGCUGUGGGGCUGAAUACUCCGGAUCUGUAUUUAUUCAAUAUCUUUGAAGUACUGAUUGUUUGUAUGUAGGCUAAGGACAGAGCUGACAUUCUUGCUGCUGUGUUCUCAUCCUGUCAUCUUGCUCACAGUGUCCCACCAUUUCUUUGAUCACAUUACAUGUUUUCGGUUUUCUUGGUGAAUAUAGCGAGCUUUUGUUUUUCUCGAAUUAGAAUGUUAAUAUGUUCGUGCAGGUCAUGUGCACCAGGUACAUCAAGAAGGAUGGAAGUAGUUGCAAUAAAAACAGUGAUUAAAUUCUUAUUUGAGCCUUUAGUGCCAAAAUUGCAUUAUUUAAACAUGGUGCACAACAGUCUGGUGAGACCAUCUUUGUUUGAUGAUAUGCAUGGCCACAAUGUGGUCAUAACCAGACUGAUGCUGUGUUAGACUUGAGGGCUGGAAAUUAUUUGCUCCAUGCACAAUACUUUGCAGAGGUUUAGGUUGACAGCCAUACGCAUCCAGACAAACUUAAUUUGCACUUCUUUUGUUCUUCAGUGGAAUCAUAUUUUAACCAUGGAAACUCCUUCAGCCGGUUAUCGCAAAUUUGGGUUUCUUCAUUUUGUGGUAUCACUUUCAGGUUUCCU